rnacentral:tRNA from 1 species
GCCCAGAUAGCUCAGUAGGGAGAGCGCUGCCCUGAAGAGGCAGUUGUCCCCGGUUCAAGUCCGGGUCUGGGCA